CCUCAUGGCCACGCUACUCUGAACAAGCCCGAUCCCGUCUGAUCUUGGAAGCUAAGCAGGGUGGGGCCUGGUUAGUACUUGGGUGGGAGACCACCUAGAAGGACCAAGUGCUGUAGGCA
rnacentral:rRNA from 1 species